CUACGGGUCGCAGCAGCAGCGAAUCAUUUACAAUGCACGCAAGUGUGAUAAUGCGAACCAAAGUGCUUUUCUUUUUGAAAAGCUUUUGUUCAUUCUAAAAAGAUGGACGAAUAAGGACCGGGCAAGACUGGUGCCAGCCGCCGCGGUAAUCCCAGCGGUUCAAGUUGCAUCCAAUUUUAUUGGGUCUAAAACAUCCGUAGCUUGUUAUUUAAGUCUCUUGUGAAAUCCUGUGUCUCAAGCACUGGGCUUGCGGGAGAUACUGAAUAGCUAGAGAUCGGUAGACGUAAGGAGUACGCCGAAGGUAGCGGUUAAAUGUGUUAAUCUUCGACGGACUGACAAUGGGCGAAGGCACCUUACGAGGACGAAUCUGACAGUCAGGGAUGAAGGCCAGGGGCGCAAAACGGAUUAGAUACCCGGGUAGUC
rnacentral:rRNA from 1 species